ensembl:lncRNA
UGUGUGUGUGUGCGUGUGCAUGUGUGUGUUUGUGUAUGUAUGAUCCCAGUGCUGACAGACAGAUCCUGGGCUCUCACAGCAGGAUUAAUAAUUAGCAAGCUUGUGGCCCUCCACUGGUGUAUUGGACUGCAAUGUCAAAGGCGUCUCACGUACACACACUGUCACAGUCACACAGGCAGUGGUCUAUAGGACAGGUAGCUCUGUUGCCUGGUGAUGAUAAUACAUGGGACAGUGAGGACCAGCAUAGUGGAUCAGUCUGAAAUAAAAUGGAUGACGAUGUAGCAGGUUAGUAUGUGUGUGUGCUUUUUAUUUUUUAAGUAAUUUGAAAAUGUCCUCAUAGUUCGAGUCCAUAAAAGAAACUCAAACUCAAAGUAGCUUCACUUGUUUAGCUUUAAAUGACUCGAAUAACAGAUAGUCAGAGUGGGAUAAUGAGUGCUCGAAUGUUCUCUCUUUGCAGGCAGAUGCUUCAUUAAUAACCUUCCUGUUUUUCAGCUGAAGCUGCAUCUAGGAGCACAAAGAAGUAUCGAUGCCUCUCUCUCGUCCAAGAGAAAGAUAGUUGCAUCAUGCAAGUGGAGUUCAAAAAACCAGAGGGUGGGGGCCUUGGCUUUGCUUUGGUGGGGGGAACCAAUGGCAGCAUGCUGAGAGUGAAAGAAAUCUGCUCCGGUGGAGCAGCCGAGCAGGAUGGACGACUAAAAGUGGGCGAUAUUCUUCUGGAGGUAACUAACCAUUUUCUGGUUUGGUAGAUUUGCAGUCUGGACAGAGAAAGCCCAUGGCGGUGUUGUUGUCUAUCCCAGGUGAAUGGGGUCAUUGUGUCUGGGCUGAGUCAUGGGAAGGUGGUGGACAUCCUGAGGAAGGCCGAGGGGGCCGUUCAACUCACCAUCUGCAGGGAUAUCCUCCCACUCACCUACUCAGAGUCACCAACACCGCCCAACAUGUCUGCUCACCAUGAAGUCUUUCAAACGGAGGUCAAGGCGUCCGUGUCCAGUCCUGAUCCCUGCUGCACACCCGUCACCCUGAGCAGACCAGUCGAGCGCCCCCCAGAGUCAACCCCAGACCCAAUGCUCAUCGAAGCAGAGGUCAUCCUAACCCGCCCCCACCCCCUCCUCACAGACUCACUGUAGUAACAGAUGAAGCUUCAGUUGAAGAGGUAACCCCGACCAUCAAGCACACUCACGACCUUGCAGUCACAAUCUGUCUUUAUGUUGAUUUCCACCAACACCUCUUUACUAACAUGUACUAACAUCUUGCUCAUCCUGUGUGUUGCCUUCUCUGGCUGUGGAAAAGAAGAGUUGCAACAACACACCUUCUCAUCAAGCUUGCUGCCCAUCCCUCAAUGUCACUGACAUGUUGCAUGGAGCCUCUGACAGGUAUUAACACCUGAAUUUUCCCUUCUGUUACCCGUGUCUUCUCCACCUCACAGUUCCUCCUUUCUCCUUUGUGUGCUGGAGUUCCACUUUCAACCACAAGGGGAAAGCAGAGAGCAAUAAACUUUCCUCUCCAGGAUUUUAACCUCAGUCCCAGAAUAACCCUCACUAAUGAGAUAUGAAAAC